AUUGAACGCUGGCGGCAGGCCUAACACAUGCAAGUCGAGCGGCAGCGGGAAGUAGCUUGCUACUUUGCCGGCGAGCGGCGGACGGGUGAGUAAUGUCUGGGAAACUGCCUGAUGGAGGGGGAUAACUACUGGAAACGGUAGCUAAUACCGCAUAACGUCGCAAGACCAAAGAGGGGGACCUUCGGGCCUCUUGCCAUCAGAUGUGCCCAGAUGGGAUUAGCUAGUAGGUGGGGUAACGGCUCACCUAGGCGACGAUCCCUAGCUGGUCUGAGAGGAUGACCAGCCACACUGGAACUGAGACACGGUCCAGACUCCUACGGGAGGCAGCAGUGGGGAAUAUUGCACAAUGGGCGCAAGCCUGAUGCAGCCAUGCCGCGUGUAUGAAGAAGGCCUUCGGGUUGUAAAGUACUUUCAGCGGGGAGGAAGGUGUUGAGGUUAAUAACCUCAGCAAUUGACGUUACCCGCAGAAGAAGCACCGGCUAACUCCGUGCCAGCCGCCGCAGUAAGAC
rnacentral:rRNA from 1 species